AGUUUAUUUGAUAGUACCUUACUACUUGGAUAACCGUGGUAAUUCUAGAGCUAAUACAUGCUAAAAACCCCGACUGCUCGGGAGGGGUGUAUUUAUUAGAUAAAAAAUCAAUGCCCUCGGGCUCUUUGAUGAUUCAUAAUAACUUGUCGAAUCGCAUGGCUUUACGCCGGCGAUGGUUCAUUCAAAUUUCUGCCCUAUCAACUGUCGAUGGUAGGAUAGUGGCCUACCAUGGUGGCAACGGGUAACGGGGAAUAAGGGUUCGAUUCCGGAGAGGGAGCCUGAGAAACGGCUACCACAUCCAAGGAAGGCAGCAGGCGCGCAAAUUACCCAAUCCUAAUUCAGGGAGGUAGUGACAAUAAAUAACGAUACAGGGCCCUUCUGGGUCUUGUAAUUGGAAUGAGUACAAUGUAAAUACCUUAACGAGGAACAAUU
rnacentral:rRNA from 1 species